rnacentral:rRNA from 1 species
GUGCUUAACACAUGCAAGUCGAACGAACCUUCGGGUUAGUGGCGGACGGGUGAGUAACGCGUGGGAAUCUGCCCUCAGGAGGGGGAUAACGGUUGGAAACGACCGCUAAUACCCCAUAUGCCGAGAGGUGAAAUGAAUUUCGCCUGAGGAUGAGCCCGCGUCUGAUUAGCUUGUUGGUGAGGUAAUGGCUCACCAAGGCAUCGAUCAGUAGCUGGUCUGAGAGGAUGAUCAGCCACACUGGGACUGAGACACGGCCCAGACUCCUACGGGAGGCAGCAGUGGGGAAUUUUCCGCAAUGGGCGAAAGCCUGACGGAGCAACGCCGCGUGAGGGACGAAGGCCUCUGGGCUGUAAACCUCUUUUCUCAAGGAAGAAGAUAUGACGGUACUUGAGGAAUAAGCCACGGCUAAUUCCGUGCCAGCAGCCGCGGUAAUACGGGAGUGGCAAGCGUUAUCCGGAAUUAUUGGGCGUAAAGCGUCCGCAGGCGGCCUUUCAAGUCUGCUGUUAAAGCGUGGAGCUUAACUCCAUCAUGGCAGUGGAAACUGAUUGGCUUGAGUAUGGUAGGGGCAGAGGGAAUUCCCGGUGUAGCGGUGAAAUGCGUAGAUAUCGGGAAGAACACCAGUGGCGAAGGCGCUCUGCUGGGCCAUUACUGACGCUCAUGGACGAAAGCCAGGGGAGCGAAAGGGAUUAGAUACCCCUGUAGUCCUGGCCGUAAACGAUGAACACUAGGUGUCGGGGGAAUCGACCCCUUCGGUGUCGUAGCUAACGCGUUAAGUGUUCCGCCUGGGGAGUACGCAC